rnacentral:rRNA from 1 species
UGGGGAAUUUUGCACAAUGGGGGAAACCCUGAUGCAGCGACGCCGCGUGAUUUAGAAGGCCUUCGGGUUGUAAAAAUCUUUUGUAUGGGAAGAAAAUGACAGUACCAUACGAAUAAGGACCGGUUAAUUACGUGCCAGCAGCCGCGGUAAUACGUAAGGUCCGAGCGUUUUCCGGAAUCAUUGGGCGUAAAGGGUACGUAGGCGGAUAAGCAAGUUAGAAGUGAAAUCCUAUAGCUCAACUAUAGUAAGCUUUUAAAACUGCUCAUCUUUGGGUAUGGGAGGGGAAGUGGAAUUCCUGGUGUGGCGGUGAAAUGCGUAGAUAUUAGGAGGAAUACCGGUGGCGAAAGCGGCUCUCUGGUCUGUAACUGACGCUGAGGCUCGAAAGCGUGGGGAGCGAACAGG